AAAGGUACAGUUUUUUCCCCUUGAAGUCCAAUUUUGCAUAAAUGAGUUGCAUAAAAAGAAAUUCUGUUUCCAGGAUAUGGAUGGUAGAUGAACUUCAUUACAUAUAAGAACAACCUGUACAUAGAGAAGCUGGCCAUGAAGUUCUGGGGAAUUUCUCCCUGGAUAAAACAUGUGAACACAUAGAAAAAAAUCACAUGUCCAAAAUGAAUGUUUCUCAGCUAGCUCAACCUUCCUCUCUGUGGAUCCUUAAAGAAAGUCCUCUUUGAAGUUCAUGGAUAUAUGAUUCAAGUAGGAUUAGUCUAGCUCAACUCAAGUGAACUUUGUAGCCUGCCUUUUGUAUAUUGCCUGGGUAAUGCCACAGUUGCUGCCAAUAAUAACUCACCUUUUUAUAGUCAUAAUUAACAUUUAAAUAGCACCUUCAAGUUUGCAAACUGCUUUGCAUACAUUAACUUAUUUAAACCUCACCUUAACCUAGAGAGAUAGCUGCUACAGUCUUUUUUUAUCUCCAUUUUACAGAUAAGAAUACCCCAACUUUGAAAAGGUAAGUGACUAGCCCAUUAUUAAGUAUGAGACAAAGGGCACUUUGAAUGCAAGUCUUCUGGACUCCAUUUCCAGGAUUUUACCCACCAAGCCUCAGUGCCUCUAAAGUACUUUCCUCAUAGUAAUAUUUUACAUCGGUUACCUAAUUUGGGAUGAAAGAACCAAGUUUUCAUACUCAUUUUUUUGAUGAGCAGAUUGAUAUUACUAUAGACACAAGUGGAAAUCUAAAUAUUUGUCCUCCCUUUCAAAAAGUGUUUCUGUCACUCUCCUAAAGAAAUUGUCCUAUCCACUUUCCAUCUCAGUUUACAAUACUGAAAAAUCUUGUUUUAUUUAUGGAUUACAGUGACUAUAAUAUGAAGGUUUACCAAGAGAUCUUGUCAGACUUCAAGCUUCUUGUAACAUAGAUAGGAAGCUAACCUCUUGUGGGGAGGGGGUUGGAAGAAAACCUAUAGUGAGACUGGAUCAUUUGUACAUGAGGUAGCAAAAGAGUGGCAACCUGAAACAGUUGUGGGUAUGGAAAAUAUCUUGGGAUUUUGACCUGUUCCUAAUCUGUUGUGGUCUUCCUGUUCCCAAAUCCAAUCCAAUGACAUUAUAAAAUGCUUUGGAUUUCCUGGAGUAUUAGAGCUAGAUAAUGAUCAGCUUACAUAAAUCCUGGCAUUCUUUUAUUUUUAUUUUUUAUUUUUUUCCAUAGUUACAUGAUUCUUGUUAUCUUCCUCCCCCAUCCUGGAGUUGACAAGCAAUUUCACUGGGUUAUACAUAUAUUAUCAUUCAAAUCCUAUUUCCAUAUUAUUCAUUUUUGUGAUAGAAUAUCCUUUAAAACCAACCCCCCAAAUCACAUACCCAUAUAAACAAGCGAUAAAUCAUUUUUUCUUCUGCGUUUCUACUUCUGUAUUUCUUUCACCAGAUGUGGAUAGCAUUCUUUCUCAUAAGUCCAUCUGAGUUGUCCUGGAUCAUUGCAUUGGCAUUCUUUUUACAUGAUAAUUUCAACUUCAUCCUUGAACCUGGGAUGGAGAAAUUACCAAUCUCUCACACUCACCUUCCUACUAGAAAAUCUGUACUGAGAGAUGCUUUUUGAAUAUUCAUUUAAUUGGUUCCAUUUGACUCUAUUUACCUGAGCUCAUUGAUUGCAUAGUUCUUUGUCUCUGAAGUCAAUGCAUUAAGCAUCAUUUAUGGAGCUUAUAUAAAGAAUGAAAUAAUUUCUAUGAUCAAGAAGUCAAGAAGAAGGAAUAUUGAGAUAAAUACAGGAUAUAGGGCAAGGCAUAGCACAGAACAGACAAGCAGGAUGGGAUCAGGCAAUAUGAUGUUGAGAAAUAACUAUAAGUAAAGAGCUUUUUGAAGGGCCAAGAAACUUUUAAAAACCUUGUCUUGCCCUCCAGGUGCCAUCCAGCUCCUAAACCAGGACCUCUUCUCAGGCUCUGAUGCCUGACCAUGAUUAGACAAUAACAAAUUAGUAAAUCUAUUCAUUUUUAUAGGGUUCAAUGCAUUAAGGAGGUGAUCUAGGUAGAGUGGCUGACCUUUGCUUCCUGGAGAAGAAAUGGAGCCCUGAAGAGGAUCAUGCAUCCAUCAUGGUUAAAAUUGUUAUUAUUUUUGCCUCCUUGUCCAAUUCCCUCCAGCUUAGAAAGGCAUUUCAUAUUGUUAGAGGAAAGAAGGAGAGCAUGGCUUCCGGCAUCUUUGCAAGCUAUAGGAUAGGGGUCAGAAGCUGGGCAUGUCUCCAUGGGCAACAGAGCGAUCAAUGGGUUAAGGGUCUAAAAUAGGAACUAGAUGAAAGUAGCCUCCAAUGUAUGCCUCUGACGUGAUCUAACAUUUAUUUGCAUUUCAAAAAGGAUUUGCUGCCAACAGUCAUUACUAUAGUCUCCUGCCAUGGAGCAGGUACAUGGAACAUAUGAGAAAUUUACAUUUCAUCCUGGGGGUUUACUCCUGUACCUAUUAGGAGCUUCAUGGUUCUGAGUUAAUAGGAGCAGGAGAAGAAAAACAGACUUUCAUCUGGUCAUUGCCCUGAAUUCAGCAUUAUUCCAGAUUACGAAUGAACAGAGAAGACUGGUUUAGAAACAGAUUUUUCAAAAUGUAGUCCAGUGGGGAUAUGGUAUUAUUUUCCAUUUCUCAUUUUUGGUGGGUGGAUGAAUACUUCAUCUGUAAUUAAGAGAUCUGAAUUCUAAAUGUAUAGAACCUUGACCAAAUUACUAAACCUUUGGGAGUCUCAUUUUCUUCAUUUGUAAGGCAAAAAUUAUAAACCUUUCCAUACUCAUUUCUUGAAAAGAAGCAAAGGAGUUAAUGCACAGAAAGCAUUAUGCAGCUUUAUAAGUAAUCUUGGAAGAUUCUACCAAAUUUUGAUACUAAAAACCUGUAUGAACAUGCAUGAUGUCAAUGUCUCUAAGUUGGUAUACCUCACAUUUCUUUUGAUCUAUUGAAAUCCUGCUUUUCUCAUAGAACACAGCAUCUUCUUGGAAGAGGAUGGGCCAUGGCCCUAUGACAUUGUCUCCCUCUCUAGUAUUAAAAUCAUGUAAUUGAUUGUAAAUGAAUAUAAAAUUCUUUGAAGAGACCAUUAGAAUUGUCCUCAUAUCACUUCUGACUUCUGUGUGAGUUCUUGCCUUGUGUGAAUUCUCUAUAAAAUGGUCUUUUAGGCAAGCAUGUGCUUGGCAUUUAUACACAAUGGCUAGCCCAUUGGAGAAUUGCAUUCUCUAGAGUAGAGUCUGAAUUCUUGGCAGUUCAGUUGGAGAAGGGACCUCAGGGUCUAGACCUUAUCUUGCUAGGCAAUCUACAGAAUUUUCAGAAGACAAUUCAAUUAGAAAAAUUCAAAUUCUUGGCAGCCCAGAUUAUAUAGGUUUCACAGGCAUACAACAAUGAAGUCAGCAAAAUGGCUCUGUAGACCUUCAGUUUGGUAGGCAGCCUAAAUUAUGCCUAUCCAUUAAAGUUCAGUUUAAGUCCCACCUUCUCCACAAAGCUUUCUCCAACCAUUGCAUACCAAAAUAAUCCCUUCAUCUCUUCCUCCUUUCCACUUACAUCCAAUAUCAUUUUGUUUAUCAUGUGUAAAAAAAUCUAUUUUUUCUAUUCGAUUAAAAAAACAUAAUAGCUAGGAAAGAAAACUGAAUAGUUAAUAUUUUUACCAUCAUUAUUUACAUGUAGUGCAUAACCAGGAUGUUAAUGGAGAAGAAAGGAUGGUAAGUACAUUUGGUGACUCUUUUGGUCAUAACUAUCGCUUUGGAAUAAAUCAGGCUAUUCUUGGAGAGAGGAUCUGAUAUGUUGAAUCCUCUAAAUCUCAGGAAGGAUUUGUUUCAUUGUCUGGGCUUCCCAGGGAAUUUCUCAUACCUGUGUUUUGUUUGUUCAUGUUUCCCCAGUGUGCCAGCCUACAAGAAGGCAGUCAAGAGAGUAAAGAUUCUGGAAGGAAUUAGUCAACUAGAGGAAGACACUUCAGAGUGGAGGGUACUUCCAGCUUGAGAAAUGUGGCAGUGGAGUAAAGAAGUUUCUGUAGCAUAUGAGGGAAAAUUUGGAAAUUCAAGGGUAUAGCCUGGACUGGAAUGAAGAUAUGGCUGACCUGCUUAUCCUAAACAUGGAGGCUGUGAAAGGAACAAACCAAUACUCACUGGAAUAGUAGGCAUCAUAUGCUUUCUUACAUGGUUGGAGUCAUUGGGGAAAUGUUUUUAGAAGAUUCAAGGAGUGAAUUGAGUCUUGAUAUGAUGGAUAGGAUGUGAUCAAAUCUCUCCAGGAAGAAGGAGGAAGAAGAGGAGAGAAAAAGAAGAGAGGAAGAAGAGGAGAAGGAUAAAUUGUAAAGAUUUGGAAAGAUUGGGGGGAAUUGUUGAGUUCUGAGACUGAAAGUAAAUAAGGUGAGUUUGGGACUGACUGAGAUGAUGAAGGAGACAGAAUAUUUUGAGAAGGAUGAUUUAAGCAGAAGAACCUAAGAAGAAAGGAAAAGAAGAAAUUAGAGUCAAAGAGUGAGUGCUUCUCCCCGUACAUUUUUUCCCUCAGAGACAAUAGAGUAUUUUUAAAAGAAGACAGGGAAGAAACAUUUUAGUAUGAAAACAAAGAAUAGAAAGUCAUCAGAAAUAAGAGGUGAGCCCUGAUCUCUUUCAAUAGGCUGGAAAUUGGAAAAAUGCCAUGUGGAAGAGAAAAGGACUUGUACAUUCAAAGAUAAGAAACAAAUAUUAACCUCCUCAAGAAGAGAGAGAACUGGUAUUUCUGAGUAAGAGGUAGUGACUUAUUCUCAAGGGAUGACAUGAACUCUGUUCUGUCUCCAAAGUUCAUCCUUUUUUUCCAUAUCAUGAUGAUGUCUAUUGUCGUUCUCCUUCUAUUGUAUAUUGAUAAUAUAACAGCAUUCCUUGAUUUGGUACUUUUUGGCAAUAAAAUUUAAAGAG